GUGCUUUUCUCCAGGGAGCGACCCAAAAGAGGCGCCAGAGUAGGGGUACCCAAUUCCACAGUGAAAGUUGGAAUUACGGGCUAGUCCUUCAAAUCCAAGCUGUGGCAGACUGUCAUCGUUAAUAAUGCAAUGCGUGUUUCUCCGCGACAACAGACCUCAGGAGAGGACCGUAGGCAACGUGCCAGUGCUCAGUCGAGUGAGCAGACACCCCUUAGGCAACUGGCUCGGACCCAGAAACGUUUCCGCUUUCCUCAGUGCCUGCCCCGCCCAAGCCCCGCCCCUCGGGCCCCGCCCAGCUGCUCGAGAGCGCGCGCGCGCGCGUGCGGGAGGGGGCGGGUGGGGAAGGAUUGCAGGCGAGAUUACUAGGCGAGGCUCGCGCGCCCGCCCCCGCCCUGGCCCCCAGUGCCCACCCGGUCGGCCCGGUACAGCCAUGAUCAAGGCGAUCCUAAUUUUCAAUAACCACGGGAAACCGCGGCUCUCCAAGUUCUACCAGCCCUACAGUGAAGAUACACAACAGCAAAUCAUCAGGGAGACUUUCCAUUUGGUAUCUAAGAGAGAUGAAAAUGUUUGUAAUUUCCUAGAAGGAGGAUUAUUAAUUGGAGGAUCCGACAACAAACUGAUUUAUAGACAUUAUGCAACGUUAUAUUUUGUCUUCUGUGUGGAUUCUUCAGAAAGUGAACUUGGCAUUUUAGAUCUAAUUCAAGUAUUUGUGGAAACAUUAGACAAAUGUUUUGAAAAUGUCUGUGAACUGGAUUUGAUUUUCCAUGUAGACAAGGUUCACAAUAUUCUUGCAGAAAUGGUGAUGGGGGGAAUGGUAUUGGAGACAAACAUGAAUGAGAUUGUUACACAAAUUGAUGCACAAAAUAAGCUGGAAAAAUCUGAGACCUUUAUCUUUCAGUCUCCCAGACAGGACAGGUAGACAAGCAAAUAGUUUACACUGGCCUAUUUUGUAUCAGUCAAGAUUUUUCUCAGGCUGGCUUAGCGGGAGCUCCAGCCCGUGCUGUAUCAGCUGUAAAGAAUAUGAAUCUUCCUGAGAUACCAAGAAAUAUUAACAUUGGUGACAUCAGUAUAAAAGUGCCAAACCUGCCCUCUUUUAAAUAAAAAUUUUUAAAGGCUACUCCCAGGUAAAAUCCAGGGGGAAAAGUCAUCUAAGUUUACCAUGCAGUUGUUUACCAAAAAUAGAGGAGGAGAGUCUUAACUUUUGCUCUUGGAUUUAAGUCAAGGUACUGUACAGAAGUUGUGUAAAAUCAUUAUGAAAGUUCAAUGUUGCUUUUCUUGCUCAGUGAUUUUAAAGAAAUUGAGUAGUUCCUAUGUGAUUUUUUUUUCUUUUCUAAACUGCUUUCCUGUGUCCACCUACGGCAUGCCUCUAUGUAUUGGCUACUACAGUGUUUUAAAAAGUGUUUCAGAUAUUUCUUUAAUUAUGUACAACCUAAAAUGUUGGUGUUUUGUAUGGAUCACAAGUGCAGCAUUCCUUAAUUCCUUCUGCCAUUUGUCACACAAUUGUUAUUUAAAGAACCAAGUAUGUAUUGCAUGAAAACAUUAUGACUUUUUUCUCUUAGUUUAAAUAAACUCCAAGGUAACUGGACUUCUAAAGCACCUUUCUGUUUGCCUGAUAUCUACUUUAGCAAUAAUUUUUUUUUACAACCCUCUGACUCAACAAAGUAAAUAAAAGUAUAUUUUAUCACUGUUAA